GACGAACGCUGGCGGCGUGCUUAACACAUGCAAGUCGAACGGAAAGGCCCUGCUUUUGUGGGGUGCUCGAGUGGCGAACGGGUGAGUAACACGUGAGUAACCUGCCCUUGACUUUGGGAUAACUUCAGGAAACUGGGGCUAAUACCGGAUAGGAGCUCCUGCUGCAUGGUGGGGGUUGGAAAGUUUCGGCGGUUGGGGAUGGACUCGCGGCUUAUCAGCUUGUUGGUGGGGUAGUGGCUUACCAAGGCUUUGACGGGUAGCCGGCCUGAGAGGGUGACCGGCCACAUUGGGACUGAGGUACGGCCCAGACUCCUACGGGAGGCAGCAGUGGGGAAUAUUGCACAAUGGGCGGAAGCCUGAUGCAGCAACGCCGCGUGCGGGAUGACGGCCUUCGGGUUGUAAACCGCUUUCGCAUGUGACGAAGCGUGAGUGACGGUAAUGGGUAAAGAAGCACCGGCUAACUACGUG
rnacentral:rRNA from 1 species